AUUGAACGCUGGCGGCAGGCCUAACACAUGCAAGUCGAGCGAGCGGCGGACGGGUGAGUAAUGUCUGGGAAACUGCCUGAUGGAGGGGGAUAACUACUGGAAACGGUAGCUAAUACCGCAUACCAUCAUAUUUGCCCAGAUGGGAUUAGCUAGUAGGUUGGGUAACGGCUAACCUAGGCGACGAUCCCUAGCUGGUCUGAGAGGAUGACCAGCCACACUGGAACUGAGACACGGACAAGACUCAUACGGGAGGCAGCAGUGGGGAAUAUUGCACAAUGGGCGCAAGCCUGAUGCAGCCAUGCCGCGUGUAUGAAGAAGGCCUUCGGGUUGUAAAGUACUUUGAGCGGGGAGGAGGGACAGGAAGAAGAAGCAACGGCUAACUCCGUGCCAGCAGCCGCGGUAAUUG
rnacentral:rRNA from 1 species